GAUGAACGCUAGCGGCAGGCCUAAUACAUGCAAGUCGAACGGGAUCCAGAUCAAAGCUUGCUUUGGUCUGGUGAGAGUGGCGCACGGGUGCGUAACGCGUGAGCAACCUACCCUUGUCAGGGGGAUAGCCCGGCGAAAGUCGGAUUAAUACCGCAUGACAUCAUUGAGAGGCAUCUUUCGAUGAUCAAAGAUUUAUCGGACAAGGAUGGGCCCGCGUGACAUUAGCUAGUUGGUAAGGUAACGGCUUACCAAGGCUGCGAUGUCUAGGGGCUCUGAGAGGAGAAUCCCCCACACUGGUACUGAGACACGGACCAGACUCCUACGGGAGGCAGCAGUAAGGAAUAUUGGUCAAUGGACGGAAGUCUGAACCAGCCAUGCCGCGUGCAGGAAGACGGCCCUAUGGGUUGUAAACUGCUUUUAUACGGGAACAAACGUCGGUACGUGUACCGGUCUGAGUGUACCGUAAGAAUAAGGAUCGGCUAACUCCGUG
rnacentral:rRNA from 1 species